GGAGAGCUGGGGCAGCGGGGGAGAAGCGUCUCCCUCUCUGUGCGGCCCAGAGACCUCGGGGCGGAGGGCAGGAGAGGGCCCAGCCGCCUCCGAGCACCUGAGCGUCCACCCGGAGGAGCGGAUUCUAAAAACCGCGCACUGAGCUGAGACUGCCGGGCACCGGGAGAGCUGAGACGCUGCCCAGGGGAGCCUUGCCAUCAGCCUGCUAAGCCAUGAGAGAACUGCCAAUGCAGCAGAAGCUCCAGGAAAGCUUAGCACCCAGGUAAGUAAUACAUUCUCCUUCCUACUCCUCCUCUCCCUCCUCCAUCUCCUUUUCCUCUUCUUCUUCCCCCUCCUGGCAAAACAGACAACUCCCUCUAACUUCCAAUCUGCCCUCAACCCUCCCCAGAUGGGUAGGGCGAGGGAGGGGGCAGCCUCAAAAGUGGGAACUUUGGAGAUGUCCUGCUCUCUGAAUCCCUAAUUCCCAGCUCU